GCUGGUGGUACCCGGCGGGGAGCGGGUGACGGCCUACGCGGCGGUGGCGGCGUUGCUGGUCGCGCUGGCCGGGUUCCGGACCCGCCCGUCGGCG
rnacentral:tRNA from 1 species